CUACGCCUUUCUAUCUUUGCCUAUGAUCUUCCUUUUUCCUGGACUGGCUUCACCACUGUGUGUCUGCCUCAUAAAUACUGACUCAUCCCUUAGACCAUAAAUCAAAAACUGACCUCACAUCGAAGUUUUCUCAACCUCUCCUGCUCCCACCCCCACACCAUAGGAACAGGAACAGCUGUUCCUUUCUUUAAGACCCCUCCUCCUCACUGCAGUGAACAGUGAUGAACUGUUACAGUGUGGAUCUGUUUGAUCCAGCGGAAAGCCCCCGCCAUUCCGGGAGCACAUUUUGCUCCUUUUGUACCUGAUUCUGGCUAAGUAACUGGAAAUCAUGGGAGCAGAGGAAAUGGGUCUCAUGAAGAUGGUGCUGAGCCAAGCUGCCCUGUGCCUGGAAAGGGGGCCAGGAGAGUACUAGAAACUGAGAACCAGCACCCUCCACAGACCAAGGUACUGAAGACCCCAAGACUGUUCACCUCUUCUCAGCUGAGUUCGUUGCUUCCCUGCCGCUGCCCCCUACUUGCCCGCUGAUGAGAUGGUUAAAGCGCAUGUCUGCUGCUGCUGCUAAGUCACUUCAGUUGUUUCCGACUCUGCGCGACCCCAUAGAUGGCAGCCCACCAGGCUCCCCCGUCCCUGGGAUUCUCCAGGCAAGAACGUCUAGGGGGAUCAGACCAUCUGAGCCCUAAGGCCGUGCCAUGGUGUCAUAGAGAGCUGUUCUCCACCUUCUAUCUCCUCUCGUCCUCAGUGUUCCUGGCACUGCAGCAGCGCUUGGACCCUCCGACACCCUCCACUCGCCCAGCAGCUCAGCUCUUGGGGGUCGGUGGUGACUGGCUCCUGAGCUUGCUGAGAGGCAGGGGCAGUGACGAGCCCCCCGCAUUUUGCAGCCUCACGUCCCCUCCAGUCCACCCGGAGCCAGGCCCGGGUACAGAGGCCCCGGGCGCCAGGUGCUGGCUCUUGGGUCCCUGCCAGGAGGCGCCGCGCGUCCGCAGGUGCCCACUCAGUGAUUUCUCUGGUUCACUAGUGUCCAGUGAUGGGAACACGGCGGGCCGUCAGGGCCUGAAACAGGCUAGAAACAGGCCCUGGAGGACGAAGGAGAGGCUCCUCAGGCCCCGCUGCCCGCAGGAGGGAGAGGAGGCCUCCCGGGACCUCAGUUCCAGGACAAUGAGGCUCCUCCGUGUCUUCCUCACCGCUCUCUCGAUCCUCUUCCAGAUAGCACUAGGGCGCUCAAUUUUGAAAGACCCUGCUAUCUUCGGGGUGGAAUCUGCCUGAAGCAAGGGACGCCGAGCUGUGAGCCCUUCAGAGGACCUUGCGGGCAUUCACCGUUUGCUGCAAAAUAAAGCCGAGCUGAUGGAGGCAGCCCAGCUGAGGAACCUGGCGAGAGACCCAGAGCAAUCUCCUCUUGUGCUAAUAAAAGCAGACAGUUCUCACAUCUACACAAUCAACUAUUUUAUCAUUAGGACUGAUUAAAGUUGUUUCCAGGGUAGGCAGGGUAGGCAAUGGGAGGGAAACAGUUAUAAGAAUUAAAUUUAUAUUAUGCUUUAAAUGUUGCAAAGUGUUUCAUUCACAGAGCAAAUGUGACCCUUAGGCCACUUUGGCCCGAGGCUGGAGUCCUGAGAGAGGUGCGCUCAUUUGGUGUCUUCCUUGUUCACUUGUCUUGUCCAAGGCAUGGCCCCUGCUGUAGUUUGCUGAGUAGGCCGCCUCUCCAUACAGGUGUCACUCUCCUCCCUCUGGGGAGGGAGCAGGCCUUGACAGGAUCACAGCUUUCUGCAGUUUACAGAGCAGGUUUAGGGCGGGAGGAUGGAGACAGGAUGCAAGGUGCCCAGGAAGCGGGGGACAAAGAGAAGGACAAGAGACACGAGUGUUUUUCCAAAACCUGAACAAUCUCACGGGAAAGAAAGAGUGUGACUGGCAUUGCGGCGAUGUGACGAGGACCAGUUCUAUAACUGGGUCCCAAUCAGUGAAUAAUUAAAGAUAAUUCAGAGCAGGCUUGCAGAUGAACAAUGGGCAAUGACCAGUGUACAUCCGUGUCUGUAAAGAUAUCCAGAAACAGAUACAAAUGUAGUUUCUCCAACUGUUCUCCCUGUAUGGUCUGCCGGCCGAGGUCAUCACAGAACUUUGAGUAUGCCUUGUGUCUGCGAUGUUGGCCCACUGUAUGCUCUAUCAGAACAGCUUAUCUUCCAUUACUGGAACGGGCUUCUAAUUUUUCCAUAAAACAAAUAAUGCAUACUGACUCUUUACAAAAUAUCCUGAGUCUAAAAAUUAUAUUUAACACCCCAUUAUAAUCCAGUUCAUGCUUCCUUUAAAGCAUAAAAUAGUUUUUCUCCAAAUAGAUCAUCAAUCAGCUCUGCAUGAUUUAUUAAAGGAACAGCUCGCUUCCCCUCCUCCCCCUGCCCCUGCCACUCAUGUAAAGGUCACUUUUUAUCAUAAACUAGCUGUCAGUGUCUGCAUAGUCUGUUUGUGACUGCUGUUUUUUGUCUCAGGGAUUCUUUUUUAAUUCCUCUGCCAAUGCCACGUAUUUUGAGCCUAGCCAUCAUCAUAGAUUGUAGAACUGGUAGUGAAAGUCACCAUGUUGCUCUUUAUAAACAAUUUUAUAUAUUCUUGCACACAUUUUCCUUUUACAAGGAAUU
rnacentral:lncRNA from 1 species